GUCUACGGCCAUACCACCCUGAACGCACCCAAUCUCAUCUGAGAACGCACCCGAUCUCAGAAGCUAAGCAAGGUCAGGCCUGGUUAGUACUUGGAUGGGAAUUUCACCUUAAUUAAAAAGUGGUGUAUGGA
rnacentral:rRNA from 1 species